CAGCCGUAAACUAUGCUCGCUAGGUGUCAGGGACGGUGCGACCGUUUCUGGUGCCGCAGGGAAGCCGUGAAGCGAGCCACCUGGGAAGUACGGUCGCAAGGCUGAAACUUAAAGGAAUUGGCGGGGGAGCACUACAACGGGUGGAGCCUGCGGUUUAAUUGGACUCAACGCCGGAAAACUCACCGGGGGCGACAGCAACAUGAAGGCCAAGCUGAAGACUUUGCCGGAUUAGCUGAGAGGUGGUGCAUGGCGUAGUCGUGU
rnacentral:rRNA from 1 species